GUAAAUAUUAAAUAAGAGGACUCGGCACGUGGUGGUUUAAUGGAUGCGGAUCAAGAGUCAAGACGCCAAGCCAAGAAAGAAUUUGAUCCUGGAGCCUGGGAGGAUUAUGCAUUGUGGAAAACCCAGAAUGAGAGCUGAUUCUGGAGGAGAGAGGAGGACUGGUGGCUGACCUGGGACAGACAGGGCGACGUGUCCACGCGGUCCCAGGGACGACGCCUGGGCCGAUUCAGGGAUGUCGCCAAGAGGCAGAGUCUGGCUCCGUUCGAGGAAGAACUGUGCACUGAUUGCUGAUAUUCUAACCACGAAGGAGGCAAUAAAGGAGUUUCCGUCCCCGGAGGAGGCCUCGAGCAGAGGGUGGACUUGCUGAAGAUGCUGCAAGAAGGGACCCAGGCUCCAGGUGGGUGUCAUCCUUGAUUUCUGGGGCGGAGAGGGGGGUCCAUGAAUCCUGAGAGAGGGGCUGUGUGGCUACCCAGAGGUGGUGCUGCUCCCUCGGAGCCUGUCCCCCAGCUUGUAUUGCUACGUCCUCGGCCCAAGAGUACUUGGGAUGCUUGAAAUGAGCAGUCUGAGAAGGCACAUCGCCUGUGUUCUCCCGAAGCAUCCAGUCGCCCCGUCCGCCCCCCGAAUUAGAUGAAUCAGAGGUGGUGACGGCAUGGCAGCGAGUCUCCUCCCGGCUGCCCGCUCUGGCCAGUUUUGAACGUCGGCCUGCAGCGGCGCAUCGAGAGGGAUUUCCAAGCCAAGUCUGGAUUCCCCAGAAGAGACUGUGAUCGAUUACUGAUGUCUGCUGUGGGCAAGCCAUGGGAGCCUGGCCGCUCCCCAGGUGCAGCCUUACCGACCGGGCCCCUGGGUUCUCGUCCUGGCUGCUCCCUGGAGGAAUCGACUUCCCCUUUUGAAGCUUGCCACCCGGUCGGGAUGACACAGGUGCCAUCUGACCCGGGUCAUCAUAGGGAAGAGGCGAGAGAAGGGCCUCUGUCUGGGUGUCCCUGGAUGUCGUAUCUGUUAAGUCUGCCCCGUACGUGCAUUAGCGAGUGCUUCUGGGGCUGUGCCCAUCGCCUGGUGCAUUUCUGGGGGUGCACCUCUACCUGCGAGGGUGUUGGGAUCUACCUCCGCCUGCAGGCGUGGCUGCAUCAAGAGCCGGCCCAGGCUGCGGUGGCGGUGACAGAUGAGCCUCGGAAGCCCGCUUCAGCCUCUGGAGGGGGGCUCCCUACGUUCCUCUCCCACGUGGACUCGGCCCCAGAGCCCCAGAGGCUCCCGGCUUUCUUAACGCGAGCUGUUGCCUCGCCCGCUGCACGUGAGUCCUCACCCCAGCGGCAGCGAGAACCCGGGUCGCCUCCUCCUUCCCCUCGUGGCGCCCCUCCCAGCCCUCCUACCUGCUGGCGGGUAGCCUUUCCACCUGCUGGGACAGCUGCCGGCUUGGACUUCAGGGCACGUGUGCCCCUGCUCAGCGGUCUGUGUCUCGACGGUCCCUCUGCCAUCUCUGGAACGUUCCUGGGAUUUGACUGGGGGCUACUCCGCUCUUGCCCUGGCGAGACCGCCCUGCCCAGGUCCCUGGCUCAGUCCCGGGCCACUUCACUGGGAUGUGGAUCCCUGCACGGGCCGGCGGCUGUGCAGGGACGGGGUUCGGGGUCGGGGGUGGGGUGGGGGGCUUCCCUGUCUGCCCCGGGCUCCUGGGCCCUGGACCAGGACUGUGGUGGGUGGAUCAUUCCAGGGCCUCCGCUCUUCUCUUGCCAUCACCAUAUGCCUCCCCCUCCCCUUGCCAUCUCUUCCCUUCCCUGA
rnacentral:lncRNA from 1 species